CAAAAUAGUAGCUUAAUUAAAGCAUCUUGCUUACGCCAAGAAAAUGUUCCUUAAAGAACCAUUUUGACACCCGAG
rnacentral:tRNA from 1 species